rnacentral:rRNA from 1 species
GUCUAUUUCCGUCCAACGUGUGCACAAGGCGUGGGCACGCGGCGAGAGUUCUAAGGCUUCUUAGAGAUGGCGAGCCGAACGUACACAAUCCGGAGGGGGGGAUAGCCUUUAGAAAGGGAGAUUAAUACCCCAUAAUAUAAUGAGUGGCAUCACUUGUUAUUGAAAACUCCGGUGGAUAGAGAUGGGCACGCGCAAGAUUAGAUAGUUGGUGAGGUAACGGCUCACCAAGUCAAUGAUCUUUAGGGGGCCUGAGAGGGUGAUCCCCCACACUGGUACUGAGACACGGACCAGACUCCUACGGGAGGCAGCAGUGAGGAAUAUUGGACAAUGGGUGNGAGCCUGAUCCAGCCAUCCCGCGUGAAGGACGACGGCCCUAUGGGUUGUAAACUUCUUUUGUACAGGGAUAAACCUUUCCACGUGUGGAAAGCUGAAGGUACUGUACGAAUAAGCACCGGCUAACUCCGUGCCAGCAGCCGCGGUAAUACGGAGGGUGCAAGCGUUAUCCGGAUUUAUUGGGUUUAAAGGGUCCGUAGGCGGAUCUGUAAGUCAGUGGUGAAAUCUCAUAGCUUAACUAUGAAACUGCCAUUGAUACUGCAGGUCUUGAGUAAGGUAGAAGUAGCUGGAAUAAGUAGUGUAGCGGUGAAAUGCAUAGAUAUUACUUAGAACACCAAUUGCGAAGGCAGGUUACUAUGUCUUAACUGACGCUGAUGGACGAAAGCGUGGGGAGCGAGGAGUACGAACGCAAGUUUGAAACUCAAAGGAAUUGACGGGGGCCCGCACAAGCGGUGGAUUAUGUGGUUUAAUUCGAUGAUACGCGAGGAACCUUACCAAGACUUAAAUGGGAAUUGACAGAUUUAGAAAUAGAUCCUCCUUCGGGCAAUUUUCAAGGUGCUGCAUGGUUGUCGUCAGCUCGUGCCGUGAGGUGUUAGGUUAAGUCCUGCAACGAGCGCAACCCCUGUCACUAGUUGCCAUCAUUCAGUUGGGGACUCUAGUGAGACUGCCUACGCAAGUAGAGAGGAAGGUGGGGAUGACGUCAAAUCAUCACGGCCCUUACGUCUUGGGCCACACACGUAAUACAAUGGCCGGUACAGAGGGCAGCUACACAGCGAUGUGAUGCAAAUCUCGAAAGCCGGUCUCAGUUCGGAUUGGAGUCUGCAACUCGACUCUAUGAAGCUGGAAUCGCUAGUAAUCGCGCAUCAGCCAUGGCGCGGUGAAUACGUUCCCGGGCCUUGUACACACCGCCCGUCAAGCCAUGGAAGUCUGGGGUACCUGAAGUCGGUGACCGUAACAGGAGCUGCCUAGGGUAAAACAGGUAACUAGGGCUAAGUCGUAACAAG